rnacentral:rRNA from 1 species
CCUACGGGAGGCAGCAGUCGAGAAUCAUUCACAAUGGGGGAAACCCUGAUGGUGCGACGCCGCGUGGGGGAAUGAAGGUCUUCGGAUUCUACACCCCUGUCAUGUGGGAGUAAAUUAAAAAGAUAGUACCACAAGAGGAAGAGACGGCUAACUCUGUGCCAGUAGCCGCGGUAAUACAGAGGUCUCCAGCGUUGUACGGAAGCACUGGGCGUAAAGCGUGCGUAGGCUGUUUCGUAAGUCGUGUGUGAAAGUAGGGGGCUCAACCCGUGGACUGCACAUGAUACUGCGAGAUUAGAGUAAAGGAGAGGUAGCCGGAAUUCGCGGUGUAGCAGUGAAAUGAGUAGAUAUCGAGAGGAACACUGGUGGCGAAGGCGGGUUCCUGGACAUUAACUGACGCUGAGGCACGAAGGCCAGGGGAGCGAAAGGGAUUAGAUACCCUUGUAGUC